AUUGAACGCUGGCGGCAUGCCUUACACAUGCAAGUCGAACGGUAACGGGCCUUCGGGUGCCGACGAGUGGCGAACGGGUGAGUAAUACAUCGGAACGUGCCCGAUCGUGGGGGAUAACGAGGCGAAAGCUUUGCUAAUACCGCAUACGAUCUACGGAUGAAAGCAGGGGACCGCAAGGCCUUGCGCGGACGGAGCGGCCGAUGGCAGAUUAGGUAGUUGGUGGGAUAAAAGCUUACCAAGCCGACGAUCUGUAGCUGGUCUGAGAGGAUGAUCAGCCACACUGGGACUGAGACACGGCCCAGACUCCUACGGGAGGCAGCAGUGGGGAAUUAUGGACAAUGGGCGCAAGCCUGAUCCAGCCAUGCCGCGUGCAGGAUGAAGGCCUUCGGGUUGUAAACUGCUUUUGUACGGAACGAAAAGCCUUCUUUUAAUACAGGAGGGUCAUGACGGUACCGUAAGAAUAAGCACCGGCUAACUACGUG
rnacentral:rRNA from 1 species